CCCGUGGCGGUCAGGCCGAUCAGGGUGGACGCCUGCUGGGCCUCCUGGACGACCUGCGGUUCGAAUCCGCGCUUCGCGC
rnacentral:tRNA from 1 species